rnacentral:tRNA from 1 species
UAGCUCGGUUGGCAGAGCGCUCCACUGGAAAUGGAGAGGUCCCGGGUUCGAUACCCGG